AAUAGAUACCCAGGUAGUCCACGCCGUAAACGUUGGAUACUAGGUGUGGCGGUUAUACCAAUGACUGCCGUGCCGAAGCUAACGCAUUAAGUAUCCCGCCUGGGGAGUACGGCCGCAAGGCUAAAACUCAAAGGAAUUGACGGGUCCCCGCACAAGCGGCGGAGCAUGCGGCUUAAUUCGAUGCAACCCGAAGAACCUUACCUGGGUUUGACAUCACGGGAAAAGCUGUAGAAAUACAGUGUCCAUUAGGGCCCGUGACAGGUGGUGCAUGGCUGUCGUCAGCCCGUGUCGUGAGAUGUUGGGUUAAGUCCCGCAACGAGCGCAACCCUUGUCCUAUGUUGCCAGCGGUUCGGCCGGGGACUCAUAGGAGACUGCCGGGGAUAACUCGGAGGAAGGUGAGGACGACGUCAAGUCAUCAUGCCCCUUAUAUCCAGGGCUGCACGCAUGCUACAAUGGCCGGUACAACGGGCAGCGACCCCGCGAGGGUGAGCGAAUCCUAAAAAGCCGGUCCUAGUUCGGAUUGAAGUCUGCAACUCGACUUC
rnacentral:rRNA from 1 species